CCUACGGGGGACAGCAGUGAGGAAUAUUGGUCAAUGGACGAGAGUCUGAACCAGCCAAGUAGCGUGAAGGAUGACUGCCCUAUGGGUUGUAAACUUCUUUUAUAUGGGAAUAAACUGUUCCACGUGUGGGAUUUUGUAUGUACCAUAUGAAUAAGGAUCGGCUAACUCCGUGCCAGCAGCCGCGGUAAUACGGAGGAUCCGAGCGUUAUCCGGAUUUAUUGGGUUUAAAGGGAGCGUAGGUGGUUGGUUAAGUUAGUGGUGAAAGUGUGAGGCUAAACCGUAGAAUUGCAGUUGAAACUGGCAGUCUAGAGUACAGUAGAGGUAGGCGGAAUUCGUGGUGUAGCGGUGAAAUGCUUAGAUAUCACACAGAACACCGAUUGCGAAGGCAGUUCAC
rnacentral:rRNA from 1 species